GUGAAAUGUGUGCUAGGACUAUCUACUGCACAAACAUUGACAAGAAGGUCACUCAAGCAGAUCUAAAGUUAUUCUUUGAGUCCAUAUGUGGUGAGGUUGGUCGUUCUUUACUCCAAACACAAUCUCCCUUCUGUACAACUAAAAGUUUGCAGAAAUGGCACCAUCAAGAUCGAUCUGGAGACCAACAAGAUCAUGGACUUCAUCAAGUUUGACGUCGGCAAUGUGGUCAUGAUGACCGGUGGGAGGAACACCGGGCGUGUAGGAGCGAUCAAGAACAGGGAGAAGCACAAGGGCAAGGGCAGCUUCGAGACCAUCCACGUGCUGCUUGGAGCUUUUUGCUAUGUCUAGUUUUCUCCUAUUUGUUGUACAGGAAAACAUAGAAUGGAAUUCAAAUUUGGUGGCCGCAAAAUGUGGAGACUUGAAUUCAUAUAAAGUUAGGCUUAACAUUAGUGUAAACAGUUGUAUUUUAGUUUAGAUUUAGAUUACACUUAUGUAUGUGUUGUUUGACAAUGCUUAUUUAUGAUAUAUUGAAUGGUACUUAUUUAUAUUAUAUUAA